rnacentral:piRNA from 1 species
UGCAAUCAGACCUGCCUUCCACAGGAUG